AGCAAUGAUGAAUCGCCCUUUGAAUUAGAUGUAGAUCACUCCAUGUCCCUGCGUUUCAGGGAGAACCUACUUGGGGUCCUACAUUGGAAUGAUAUAUAUGGGCUUUAACUGAGCU
rfam:Zea mays cultivar B73 chromosome 5, whole genome shotgun sequence.